rnacentral:rRNA from 1 species
AGCGAACGCUGGCGGCAGGCCUAACACAUGCAAGUCGAACGAACCCUUCGGGGUUAGUGGCGGACGGGGGAGUAACACGUGGGAACGUGCCCUUAGGUUCGGAAUAACUCAGGGAAACUUGUGCUAAUACCGAAUGUGCCCUUCGGGGGAAAGAUUUAUCGCCUUUAGAGCGGCCCGCGUCUGAUUAGCUAGUUGGUGAGGUAAUGGCUCACCAAGGCUACGAUCAGUAGCUGGUCUGAGAGGAUGACCAGCCACAUUGGGACUGAGACACGGCCCAAACUCCUACGGGAGGCAGCAGUGGGGAAUCUUGCGCAAUGGGCGAAAGCCUGACGCAGCCAUGCCGCGUGGAUGAUGAAGGUCUUAGGAUUGUAAAAUCCUUUCACCGGUGAAGAUAAUGACUGUAGCCGGAGAAGAAGCCCCGGCUAACUUCGUGCCAGCAGCCGCGGUAACAC